GACGAACGCUGGCGGCGUGCUUAAUGAAUGCGAGUCGAGCGAGAACCGGACUGAGGAAACCUUCGGGUGGAAUCAGUCUGGGGAGAGCGGCAAACGGGUGAGUAACACGUGGGUAACCUGCCCCUCAGACGGGGAUAAUUCGCCGAAAGGCGGACUAAUACCCGAUGGUGAUGUGCCAACACAUGUUGAUACAUCUAAAGGCUCCGGUGCUGAGGGAGGGGUCCGCGGCCGAUUAGCUUGUUGGUAGGGUAACGGCCUACCAAGGCUUCGAUCGGUAGCCGGUCUGAGAGGAUGACCGGUCACACUGGGACUGAGACAUGGUCCAGACUCCUACGGGAGUUAGCAUCAGGGAAUCUUGCGCAAUGGGCGAAAGCGUGACGCAGCGACGCCGCGUGGGUGAUGAAGGCCUGCGGGUCGUAAAGCCCUGUCGGGAGGGAAGAAACAGCACCUUCGGGUGCUUUGACUGUACCUCCGGAGGAAGCCCCGGCUAAUUACGUGCCGGCAGCCGCGGUAAUACGUAAGGGGCCAGCGUUGUCCGGAAUUACUGGGCGUAAAGAGCACGUAGGCGGUUAGGAAAGCGAUAGGUGAAAUCCCCCGGCUCAACCGAGGAACUGCUUAUCGAACUGCCUGACUAGAGCACGGGAGAGGGCACUGGAAUUCCUGGUGUAGCGGUGGAAUGCGUAUAUAUCAGAGGAACACCGGUGGCGAARGCUGGUGCCUGGAACGUUGCUGACGCUAARGUGCGAAAGCCAGGGGAACAAACGGGAUUAGAUACCCCGGUAGUCCUGGCCGUAAACGAUGGACACUAGGUGUUGGAGGUUCGACCCCUUCAGUGCUGUUAAGCUAACGCGUUAAGUGUCCCGCCUGGGAGUACGGUCGCAAGGCUGAAACUCAAAGGAAUUGACGGGGGCCCGCACAAGCGGUGGAGCAUGUGGGUCAAUGGGAUGAUACGCCGAGAACCUUACCAGGGCUUGACAUGACCCUGAUCCCCUGCGAAAGCAGGUCUUCUGGGCAACCAGACAGGGCCACAGGUGGUGCAUGGUUGUCGACAGCUCGUGUCGUCAGAUCUUGGGUUAAGUCCCGCAACGAGCGCAACCCUCGCCGGAUGUUGCCAGCGGUUAGGCCGGGCACUCUUCCGGGACUGCCGGAGUAAUCCGGAGGAAGGGGGGGAUGACGUCAAAUCUGCAUGCCCCUUAUGUCCUGGGCUGCACACGUGCUACAAUGGCGAGUACAAAGGGUCGCGAAGCCGCGAGGCCCAGCUAAUCCCCAAAAACUCGUCCCAGUUCGGAUUGGAGUCUGCAACUCGACUCCAUGAAGUCGGAAUCGCUAGUAACCGUGGAUCAGCAAUGCCGCGGUGAAUACGUUCCCGGGCCUUGUACACACCGCCCGUCAAGUCACGGAAGCCGACAGCACCCCAAGUCCGCUACGGCGGCCCAAGGUGAGGUCAGUGACUGGGACU
rnacentral:rRNA from 1 species